rnacentral:rRNA from 1 species
AUUGAACGCUGGCGGCAGGCCUAACACAUGCAAGUCGAGCGGAUGAAGGGAGCUUGCUCCUGGAUUCAGCGGCGGACGGGUGAGUAAUGCCUAGGAAUCUGCCUGGUAGUGGGGGAUAACGUCCGGAAACGGGCGCUAAUACCGCAUACGUCCUGAGGGAGAAAGUGGGGGAUCUUCGGACCUCACGCUAUCAGAUGAGCCUAGGUCGGAUUAGCUAGUUGGUGGGGUAAAGGCCUACCAAGGCGACAAUCCGUAACUGGUCUGAGAGGAUGAUCAGUCACACUGGAACUGGGACACGGUCCAGACUCCUACGGGAGGCAGCAGUGGGAAAUAUUGGACAAUGGGCGAAAGCCUGAUCCAGCCAUGCCGCGUGUGUGAAGAAGGUCUUCGGAUUGUAAAGCACUUUAAGUUGGGAGGAAGGGCAGUAAGUUAAUACCUUGCUGUUUUGACGUUACCAACAGAAUAAGCACCGGCUAACUUCGUG